rnacentral:rRNA from 1 species
GACGAACGCUGGCGGCGUGCCUAAUACAUGCAAGUAGAACGCUGAAAAGAGGAGCUUGCUCUUCUUGGAUGAGUUGCGAACGGGUGAGUAACGCGUAGGUAACCUGCCUUGUAGCGGGGGAUAACUAUUGGAAACGAUAGCUAAUACCGCAUAACAAUGGAUGACCCAUGUCAUUUAUUUGAAAGGGGCAAAUGCUCCACUACAAGAUGGACCUGCGUUGUAUUAGCUAGUAGGUGAGGUAACGGCUCACCUAGGCGACGAUACAUAGCCGACCUGAGAGGGUGAUCGGCCACACUGGGACUGAGACACGGCCCAGACUCCUACGGGAGGCAGCAGUAGGGAAUCUUCGGCAAUGGGGGCAACCCUGACCGAGCAACGCCGCGUGAGUGAAGAAGGUUUUCGGAUCGUAAAGCUCUGUUGUAAGUCAAGAACGAGUGUGAGAGUGGAAAGUUCACACUGUGACGGUAGCUUACCAGAAAGGGACGGCUAACUACGUGCCAGCAGCCGCGGUAAUACGUAGGUCCCGAGCGUUGUCCGGAUUUAUUGGGCGUAAAGCGAGCGCAGGCGGUUUGAUAAGUCUGAAGUUAAAGGCUGUGGCUCAACCAUAGUUCGCUUUGGAAACUGUCAAACUUGAGUGCAGAAGGGGAGAGUGGAAUCCCAUGUGUAGCGGUGAAAUGCGUAGAUAUAUGGAGGAACACCGGUGGCGAAAGCGGCUCUCUGGUCUGUAACUGACGCUGAGGCUCGAAAGCGUGGGGAGCGAACAGGAUUAGAUACCCUGGUAGUCCACGCCGUAAACGAUGAGUGCUAGGUGUUGGAUCCUUUCCGGGAUUCAGUGCCGCAGCUAACGCAUUAAGCACUCCGCCUGGGGAGUACGACCGCAAGGUUGAAAUUCAAAGGAAUUGACGGGGGCCCGCACAAGCGGUGGAGCAUGUGGUUUAAUUCGAAGCAACGCGAAGAACCUUACCAGGUCUUGACAUCCCGAUGCUAUUUCUAGAGAUAGAAAGUUACUUCGGUACAUCGGUGACAGGUGGUGCAUGGUUGUCGUCAGCUCGUGUCGUGAGAUGUUGGGUUAAGUCCCGCAACGAGCGCAACCCCUAUUGUUAGUUGCCAUCAUUCAGUUGGGCACUCUAGCGAGACUGCCGGUAAUAAACCGGAGGAAGGUGGGGAUGACGUCAAAUCAUCAUGCCCCUUAUGACCUGGGCUACACACGUGCUACAAUGGUUGGUACAACGAGUUGCGAGUCGGUGACGGCAAGCUAAUCUCUUAAAGCCAAUCUCAGUUCGGAUUGUAGGCUGCAACUCGCCUACAUGAAGUCGGAAUCGCUAGUAAUCGCGGAUCAGCACGCCGCGGUGAAUACGUUCCCGGGCCU